UGUGCGACUGCGCAGAGGUCGUUCGUCACACUUUCGCUUAACACAGUAAUGUCGUCAACUAGUUAGCUAGCUGGGUACGAAUUAAAUAAUUUUACUCUAAUAAUGUCGGUCUAUCACGACGAAGUUGAGAUCGAGGACUUUGAAUAUGACGAGGAUGAAGAGACAUACUAUUUUCCGUGCCCAUGUGGCGACAGAUUUGCCAUAACCAAAGUAAGUACAGCGUGAGAAGAUCCCCUGCGAGCCACGUCGUGACAAGGAGGAAUUUAUGUCUGGGGAGAUAAUCGAAGCACCAACUACAGAGAGCAGAUUGGAACUGGCUCAGUCGUCCUGACAGAGAUGACACACCUCUUCAGUUUCUCAUCUCCCAUCAGUAAAAGUGGACCCUGUUGCAUUUGUAUGUGCUUCCACACAACACAAAGACACAUUAUGAACGAUAUGCUUCACUGGUGAGGUCUGGGAUGGAGAAUUCUCAGAAUUCAUUCACAUGUUCCUGGCAUUGAUUUUGCAGAGUUACAUAAAGGACCCAAACUACUACCAUUUGCACAACGUAUUUAAAUAAAUCCUUUAUUCUUUUAAGUCUUUCACUCCCUUUUUUAUAAACAUGUUAUGCAUUUUUGUUGAUUACUCAAGAUUAAAUCUGGAUGAAGUGAA